GGGGUCGCUUUCUCAUUAUAAGAACUGCGAUGGUGAGAUUAAUGGUACCACUAUUCAUGACUGUAUUAUGUGUUCCUGUGUCGGUCUCAUAGGCUAAAGAAAAAUGGCCAUGUUUAUUUAGUCAGGCAAGUCCAUUAAUUCUGUUAUUUUUAAAAAUUAAAUAACAAGUUUAAUGUCAAUGCAUUUGCUUGGCCUAAAUAAAAAUGUGGUGUUCUUAAAGUGGUUCUAUGUUAAGCCCUAUAUGUUGUUUACUAUAAUAUGAUAUAAUGUAUUAUAAGAUUCUGGAGCUGGUUAACCACUCAACAGUGCAGCGUUAAGAGACCAACAAACAAGAUUUGGGUCUCAGCCUUUAUAGGAAAAAUACAACCUGUGUGUCUGUGUGUCUCUCUGUGUGUGUCUCUGUGGACUGUGAGUGAGUGAGUGUGUCUGUGUGUGUCUCUGUGGACUGUAAGUGUGUCUGUGUGUGUCUCUGUGGACUGUAAGUGUGUGUGUGUGGACUGUGAGUGAGUGUGUCUGUGUGUGUCUCUGUGGACUGUAACUGUGUGUGUGUGUGUGUGUGGACCGUGAGUGAGUGUGUGUGUCUCUGUGGACUGUGUGUGUGAGUGUGUGAGUGUGUGAGUGAGUGAGUGAGUGUGAUAACUGCUGCGCAAGCUGACCUCUGUUCUCUUCAUAUCUCCACACUGUCGUUGAAAGAUACGAAAAGAACAGGGUGGACCAAAAAAAAACGUGGUCAGUCAGUCUGAGGCUCUUUGUCUUUGGCCGCGUGACCCAAGUUACUCAGAAACAACGAGAGGAAAAACACUGGCUUCUUUUAAUACAUGACAGAAACAGACCGUCUCAAUGCUUAAAAAUCCUUCUUUUAACCUGUCUCCUCCCCUUCAUCUACAUUGAUUUGGUAGUGAAUUCAACAAGUGACAUCAACAAGGGAUCAUAGCUGUCUCCCGGUCAGUCUGUCAUGGAAAGGUGUUCCUAAUGUUUUAUAUUCUCUGUGUAUAUAUAUCCCUGGGCCUUUUGUCGUUGUAAGGGUGGAUUUAUGGGCCAAAUGAAGAUUGGGGUUUGGAUUCAAAUUAUUAACAAAAUCAUGCCCCCUUUGGCCAAGCUCCACGUGCAAAUUGGCCCCGGUCUGCCUGCCCCCCUCUCCCAACACGUCCAACGGAAGGCAGAUCGUGACCAUGCCUCCACAGCCAAAGUUAUGUGGUUUGCAUGUCCUGCCGGAGGAUCCUGACUAUGCGGAACAGGUGGAUGGCGCUCGUCUGGUGGUGGCCCUCCGUGUCAACACCACCUCGUAAGAUGAGGAAGUACAUUGUGUAUGAGGAUCGCCUGCUGCAGUUGUUCGAGACGGAUCCAGUUUGCAGCCCCCAACAUGCAACAGGGAGGAGACCAGAAAAGGGGACCCGCUGCAUCACGCAGACAUACCCUCUCUGUAGAUGUGCGGACUCGAGUCACAUGACUUGGACUCGAGUCACAUGACUUGGACUCGAGUCACAAAUUUGAUGACUUAAAACUCGGCUUCAUAGAAAAAUAUAAUAUCUAGAGACGGAUGACUUGAAAUGAUCAGACCAUGUUUUUGUAAUGUUUUGUUACUAGUUGUGUUGCACAGAGUCGACGUAGUUACUCCAAGCAGCUGGAGACAGUAGCUGCAGCUAUGCGCUUGCAAAAAAAAAAAAAAAAAAAGUACAACUAACUGGUUAGUGAACCGCACAUUCAGCCCUCUGAUUGGACCAGCAGACUGUCAAUCAACACGUUUCGGAUGAGCUAGCCUAGUGAAAAGGGUUUUGGGGCCAUCAGUGUGAAAUGGGAUUUAUUUUAUAUGCUGUACAUAUGUUAAUAGGUUAUUAGCCUACCAUUUGUAUUUUCUAUUUAUGCCUUUGCAUAUUCGAUCUGGUAACUAACAUAGACCUUGCGGCAGGGUAGCCUAGUGGUCAGAGCGUUGGCGAAGCAUCAUUACCCAUCCCUUAUACAAAAGCAGUGCAAAGGGGAACCACUACUUCAAGGUCUCGGAGCGCGUGACGUCACCGAUUGAACCGCUAUUAGCGCGCACCUCGCUAACUAGCUAGCCAUUUGUCAUCUGGUUACAUGUACCUUUGAGCGAGGCCUAGUAGUUUGGAUUAUAAUCCGUGUUCAUAAAGUGUUCAUACCCCUUGAUUUAUUCCACAUGUUGUGUUACAGCUUGAAUUAAAAAAAAAAAAAUGCAUAAAGUAUAUCUUCUCUCACCCAUCUACACACAAUUACCCUAUAAUGACAAAGUGGAUUUUUGUUUUUGUGUGACCGACCAGUAUCUUUGAUGACGGGCCAGGAGCUGAUCUACUCUGCUGCCAGCCUCUUUGCCUGCUCACCUGCGGUUUUCAGUGGGGAGAACAUCAUUUAGUUCGGUUUAGUCUGACCUGUUCAAACGUCAAACAGAGGACACGUUUGUUAGUCAGAUAGCAUCGGUCCUAACUGCCGUUGGUCAUAGAACAGCAACUGGGUUCACAGCAACUGGGUUCACAGCAACUGGGUUCACAACAACUGGGUUCACAGCAACUGGGUUCACAACAACUGGGUUCACAACAACUGGGUUCACAACAACUGGGUUCACAGCAACUGGGUUCACAACAACUGGGUUCACAGCAACUGGGUUCACAGCAACUGGGUUCACAACAACUGGGUUCACAGCAACUGGGUUCACAACAACUGGGUUCACAGCAACUGGGUUCACAACAACUGGGUUCACAGCAACUGGGUUCACAGCAACUGGGUUCACAGCAACUGGGUUCACAGCAACUGGGUUCACAGCAACUGGGUUCACAGGUGGAUCUAUGGAGACUUGCAGGAUGACGUUCGGACGGGCUUGAUGUCUCGGAAAUGGAAAAGAAACCUGUCACUCUGCAUUAAACUUUUAGUUGACAUCUU